CGCAACACUUGUGAAGUUAAAUUGUGGGGAUUUCGAAUGAUCAGUUCGAAAUUCACGACAGUUUUAUUAGUUUUAAAAGCAUUCAGUAUUCAUCUAAAGGUUAGCGACAAUUUUCGUGAAUUAUUCAAAAUAUAUAGCGACUUUUACCGACUUUUGACAUAAGUUUGGCGACAUUCAAUCGAUGCGCGUUGGCAACUCUAGAAAUUGUUAUAGUUGCGGAAGGUGACCGUGAGUCAUUUGUCAGCAUUCAGGCAGAGGAAUAUUUUCAAGUUCCCAAGUCCAUCCUGAAAGUUCACCGUAGAGUUGUCAAAGAUCUUCGAAGAUUUUGUGGGAACUUCAUGAAAAAUUUUGUGGCCUGUGUUUUUAAUGGUACAUAAGAAACUCAGCUAGAUGUCAAUACCCAUUGUCCAUGAGAAUAAGAGAGCUGCCUAUUUGGCAAGUUUGAGAAGCAGGAAACCGUGGAGUAUGAAAUACCUUAAAUUCUUAUAAAUCUGGAGACACUUGACAAGCAAAGGCUACUAGAACAGUUUUUCAUGAAGGCGAAUAAUGGCCAGUUACUGACGGUGGAGAUUCCCCUCAACGUUGUCAGUCCGCUGAAACUUCAAACGUUUUCUGAUUUCUGGUGAAGGUCUGGAGCUGCAAAACUUUUCAGCCCUAUGAUGGAGAAAUGAAGUUACAAACGCUUUGCAGCUCGUCAUUCAUCCUUAGUUUAACAAAGAAGAAAAUGGACCACCAAAAAAUGCCAAUAUAAUUCAACCAGUAGAAUGAAAGAAGACUCGCCUCUGUGAAGUGAGAGUUUACCAAGAUUCCAAAUAGGAAAUUGUCGUUGUUGAUUGGUCGUUCACUUGUUAUUAUCAUAUUUUUAGCUCGCAUCUUCAUAUUCCUCAAAGUCGAGGUUUGUAUCACAGGAAAAGAAGUGUAUAUCAUAACUAUUUCAUUGUGAAACCCUUUUCCUUAGUACUUUAUCACUUCUGCAUCAAUAUGUAGUUUGUAUUCAUAUAGAUGAGUACAUUUUUUUAGAUAUCAUUCAAGUUAUUACGUUUAAGCGUAGGAUAAUACAGUCGCAUUUUAUAUUAACAUCAUUCAAGAAAUAAACAUAAAGUACAAUAAUUUCAUUUAGACAACAUUGAACACAGGAACGUAAAGUACAAUUACUAUAUGAACGCCAUUAAAGACAUGAACAUACAGUAAUUUCAUGUAAAUGCUAUUCAGAAUAUGAAUGCAAAGUACAAAACCCCAUAUCAGUUCCAUUAAAGCAUAAAUAUAAAGUACAAUGUUUUAAUAUAAACAUUCCAAACAUGAACGUAUACUGUAUUUUUUUUUUAUAUAUGCUAUUCAAGACAUGAACAUAAAAUACAUUAAUUGUCUAUAGAUGCCAUUCAAAAAACGAAUGUAAAGUAGAAUAAUUUUAUGUAGCUUUCAUUUAAAACAUGAACGAAAAGGCAAAAACAAAUUUUUUAGACUCCAUAUAAGACAUGAACAUAAAGUACAGUAACUUUUUAUGUAAAAGCGCCAUUCAAGACAAACAUAUUGUACAGUAAUUUCCUAUAAACUAUUCAAGAAACUAAUGUGAAGUACAAUAAUUUUAUGUAGAUGCCAUUCAAGAUACGAACACCAAGUACUAUAGCUAUAUAAACGCCGUUCAAGGCAUGAACAUAUAAUAGUUGGCCUAUAAACGCUAUUCAAGACAACGUCAAAUUAACGUCAAGCCUAGUAGUUUGAUAAGUUAUUCAAGACAUGAUCGUAAAGUAUAUCAACUAUUAGACGCCAUUCAAGACAUUAAACAUAAACUCAGCAUUUCAUAUAGAUGCCAUUCAAGAUUUUAAUGUAAAUACAAUACUCUAUUUAUAAACAGAAGUUCUCAGUGCAUGAUAAAUAUGUUGAACUAGUUGAAUAUCCCAACACGGGUUGACAGUUGUAAUGGUAUUCAUGCAAAUUACCACAAAACAAUAAGAGUAGAGAGAUAAUUGCCUUGAUUUCCCUUUGGUACAGUAGCCACACGGUCCGUGAGUAGCCAUAACUCUAUUAUUCAUUAAAUGUAAUCGCUGUUGAAUUGUCUUCAAUUCCCUAAUUAUUCUUCGCCUUUCCACUUCACCUAAACUUUUACAUCUCGCUGACAUUCUGGGCUCUUGAAUACUUUGGUGUCGAGAGAGAGGUGUUUCUAUUAAAUUUGCUUAUGUAUAUGAAUACAAGUUUUUAAUGCAGGAAGUAUAAGGUAAAGUGAAAAACCAAGUUUCAGAAUGAAGCUAUGUUCUGAUAAUGUACUUUUUUUCAUAUGAUACAGACAGUAAUUUUUAUAGAAUGUAUGGAGGUGUGGACUGCAUAUGUUUGUAAUGUGUGAAUAGUUUAUCACCAAUGUCAACUUCUUUAGAACUUUUGUUAAAUUACCACAUUAUGCUGGUGGCCAAUCUUUUCAUUCUACUAGUGUGUUAGUUCGUCAUUAUUGGUAGUUUAUGUGAAUUGAUCUGAAGGUUAUUAUUGCUUCCGGCAUGUCUAGAUGGAGGCAAAAUUGUGUUGCAUAUACCCAGGACCCAUUGCGUACACAUGUUGUAAGGGGACUUCUGGGAAAACUUUACGAGACAUGUAAAUCUUGAGAAAAUAAAACAAAUCAUUAUA